rnacentral:lncRNA from 1 species
CGUGGGGGCGGGGAGGCAUUGGGAAGGUAGGGUUUGGGGCCUUAGUCAUCUCGUAGUGAUCACGGGCUCCCUCGGCGUCUCCUGUCAGCCCCAGACCUCACCCCUAAACUUUGGACAUUUUCCCCUACGGUGUACCUAACCCCACUCCAACAAUCCCCAGACCCACCACAGUCCUUCCCCCAUUCCGCGGAAGCCACCGGCCGAGAGCCGAGGGCUCCUUUUGCACUGGUGCGGCGAGCGCGGGGUGCAGAGGUAACCCCGCAGUGCUGGGCGUGGGGUUCCCCGAAACGCCGGGCAGACUGCCUGGGAGUGGCCCAGAGCCGGGAGCCGAGGGCUGGGGAGCCUCCGCAGCAGGCCCGCCGCCCCCACACCCCGGAGGAGCGCCGUCCGCAGUGGGGCUGGUUUCCGAGGUGCUGAGCCCGGUUUGCGAUGUUAGCUUUUGUAGCUGAGGUUUCCGUGGGAUGGGGGCGGCCAGGCGGGAACCUCCUUCCGGCACGGUUGCGAGAUAGCAGAAUUAUGCCAGUAGCCGAAGAGCGGCUCGGGGUGGAGAACGGUUUUAGUUAAAGGUACAGAGCUUAGUUCGGACUCUGGCGAUUCAGAAACCCUAGGAUGGGAUCCGUUUGCAUCUGCGCUUGAGCUAUUAGUCUCUGUGUUGGUUGGUUGAAACAAAC